rnacentral:rRNA from 1 species
AGUGAACGCUGGCGGUAGGCCUAACACAUGCAAGUCGAACGGCAGCACAGUAAGAGCUUGCUCUUACGGGUGGCGAGUGGCGGACGGGUGAGGAAUACAUCGGAAUCUACUUUUUCGUGGGGGAUAACGUAGGGAAACUUACGCUAAUACCGCAUACGACCUACGGGUGAAAGCAGGGGAUCUUCGGACCUUGCGCGAUUGAAUGAGCCGAUGUCGGAUUAGCUAGUUGGCGGGGUAAAGGCCCACCAAGGCGACGAUCCGUAGCUGGUCUGAGAGGAUGAUCCGCCACACUGGAACUGAGACACGGUCCAGACACCUACGGGAGGCAGCAGUGGGGAAUAUUGGACAAUGGGCGCAAGCCUGAUCCAGCCAUACCGCGUGGGUGAAGAAGGCCUUCGGGUUGUAGAGCCCUUUUGUUGGGAAAGAAAAGCAGCAGGUUAAUACCCCGCUGUUCUGACGGUACCCAAAGAAUAAGCACCGGCUAACUUCGUG